rnacentral:tRNA from 1 species
GGUUGGCUUAGUAGUAGAGCGCUGGCCUCGCAUGCCUGAGGCCCUAGGUUCGAUUCCUCAGCACCA